rnacentral:lncRNA from 1 species
GAUUGUGCCUUACCGCGUCAAGGUGGCUGACCUGGAGGCUCUCAUGAAGGCCGACGCCGUCAAGGUGCAAAAACUAGAGAAAAGGUCAGCCGACCGAGAGACCCUCCUUGGGCAGGUGGAAAAGGCAAGGGACGACGCCAUAGCUAAUCUCGCCGAAGCCAACGAAGAUAAGGGAAAGGUAGUUGCUGAAUUGGCCCAAGUGCAAGCGGAAUCCAAGAAGGUUGCUGAAGACCUUCUCCAGGCUCAAG